GAGCGCAGGCGGAAAAAUAAGUCUAAUGUGAAAGCCCUCGGCUUAACCGAGGAACUGCAUCGGAAACUGUUUUUCUUGAGUGCAGAAGAGGAGAGUGGAACUCCAUGUGUAGCGGUGGAAUGCGUAGAUAUAUGGAAGAACACCAGUGGCGAAGGCGGCUCUCUGGACUGCAACUGACGCUGAGGCUCGAAAGCAUGGGUAGCGAACAGGAUUAGAUACCCUGGUAGUCCAUGCCGUAAACGAUGAGUGCUAAGUGUUGGGAGGUUUCCGCCUCUCAGUGCUGCAGCUAACGCAUUAAGCACUCCGCCUGGGGAGUACGACCGCAAGGUUGAAACUCAAAGGAAUUGACGGGGGCCCGCACAAGCGGUGGAGCAUGUGGUUUAAUUCGACGCAACGCGAAGAACCUUACCAGGUCUUGACAUCUAGUGCAAUCUGUAGAGAUACGGAGUUCCCUUCGGGGACGCUAAGACAGGUGGUGCAUGGCUGUCGUCAGCUCGUGUCGUGAGAUGUUGGGUUAAGUCCCGCAACGAGCGCAACCCUUGUUAUUAGUUGCCAGCAUUAAGUUGGGCACUCUAAUGAGACUGCCGGUGACAAACCGGAGGAAGGUGGGGAUGACGUCAAAUCAUCAUGCCCCUUAUGAUUUGGGCUACACACGUGCUACAAUGGCGUAAACAAAGGGAAGCGAUCACGCGAGUGUGAGCAAAUCUCAAAAAUAACGUCUCAGUUCGGAUUGUAGUCUGCAACUCGACUACAUGAAGCUGGAAUCGCU
rnacentral:rRNA from 1 species